rnacentral:rRNA from 1 species
UACGUAGGGUGCAAGCGUUGUCCGGAAUUAUUGGGCGUAAAGAGCGUGUAGGCGGCCCGAUUAGUCCGCUGUGAAAGUCCAGGGCUCAACACUGGAAUGCCGGUGGAUACUGUCGGGCUAGAGUCCGGAAGAGGAGAGUGGAAUUCCUGGUGUAGCGGUGAAAUGCGCAGAUAUCAGGAAGAACACCCGUGGCUAAGGCGGCUCUCUAGUACGGUACUGACGCUGAGACGCGAAAGCGUGGGGAGCGAACAGG